GCGGCUUUAGCUCACUUGGGAGAGCGCCAGACUGAAGUCAACUUCAGAUCACUAUCAACCGAUAUCUGGAGGCACUGUGUUCGAUCCACAGAAGCCGCA
rnacentral:tRNA from 1 species